AGUCGAGCGGUAGCACAGUAGAGCUUGCUCUCGGGUGACGAGCGGCGGACGGGUGAGUAAUGUCUGGCCAAACUGCCUGAUGGAGGGGGAUAACUACUGGAAACGGUAGCUAAUACCGCAUAAUGUCGCAAGACCAAAGUGGGGGACCUUCGGGCCUCUUGCCAUCAAAUGUGCCCCGAUGGGAUUAGCUAGUAGGUGGGGUAACGGCUCACCUAGGCAACUAUCCCUAGCUGGUCUGAGAGGAUGACCAGCCACACUGGAACUGACACACGGUCCACACUCCUACGGGAGGCAGCAGUGGGGAAUAUUGCACAAUGGGCGCAAGCCUGAUGCAUGCAUGCCGCGUGUGUGAAGAAGGCCUUCGGGUUGUAAAUCACUUUCAGCGGGGAGGAAGGCGGUGAGGUUAAUAACCUUAGCGAUUGACGUUACCCGCAGAAGAAGCACCGGCUAACUCCGUGCC
rnacentral:rRNA from 1 species